rnacentral:rRNA from 1 species
UACAGAGGUCCCGAGCGUUGUUCGGAUUCAUUGGGCGUAAAGGGUGCGUAGGCGGUCCGCGAAGUCUGAUGUGAAAGCCCCGGGCUCAACCUGGGAACUGCAUUGGAAACUAACGGGCUCGAGUGUGGCAGAGGGGGGUGGAAUUCCGCGUGUAGCAGUGAAAUGCGUAGAGAUGUGGAGGAACACCGAUGGCGAAGGCAGCCCCCUGGGCUAACACUGACGCUCAGGCACGAAAGCGUGGGGAGCAAACAGG